rnacentral:rRNA from 1 species
AACGAACGCUGGCAGCAUGCCUAACACAUGCAAGUCGAACGAGACCUUCGGGUCUAGUGGCGCACGGGUGCGUAACGCGUGGGAACCUGCCCUUAGGUUCGGAAUAACUCCCCGAAAGGGGUGCUAAUACCGGAUAAUGUCUUCGGACCAAAGAUUUAUCGCCUUUGGAUGGGCCCGCGUUGGAUUAGCUAGUUGGUAGGGUAAAAGCCUACCAAGGCGACGAUCCAUAGCUGUUCUGAGAGGAUGAUCAGCCACACUGGGACUGAGACACGGCCCAGACUCCUACGGGAGGCAGCAGUGGGGAAUAUUGGAAAAUGGGCGAAAGCCUGAUCCGGCAAUGCCGCGUGAGUGAUGAAGGCCUUAGGGUUGUAAAGCUCUUUUACCCGGGAUGAUAAUGACAGUACCGGGAGAAUAAGCUCCGGCUAACUCCGUG